rnacentral:misc_RNA from 1 species
UCGUAACAAGGUUUCCGUAGGUGAACCUGCGGAAGGAUCAUUACUGAGUGAGGGCCCGCCGGGUCCAACCUCCCACCCGUGUUUAUUCGUACCUUGUUGCUUCGGCAGGCCCGCCUCACGGCCGCCGGGGGGCCUCCGCCCCCGGGCCCGCGCCUGCCGGAGACAAUCUGAACGCUGUCUGAAGAAUGCAGUCUGAGCGAUUAGCUAAAUUAGUUAAAACUUUCAACAACGGAUCUCUUGGUUCCGGCAUCGAUGAAGAACGCAGCGAAAUGCGAUAAUUAAUGUGAAUUGCAGAAUUCAGUGAAUCAUCGAGUCUUUGAACGCACAUUGCGCCCCCUGGUAUUCCGGGGGGCAUGCCUGUCCGAGCGUCAUUGCUGCCCUCAAGCACGGCUUGUGUGUUGGGCCUCCGUCCCCCCGGGGACGGGCCCGAAAGGCAGCGGCGGCACCGCGUCCGGUCCUCGAGCGUAUGGGGCUUUGUCACCCGCUCUGUAGGCCCGGCCGGCGCCUGCCGACACCCAUCAACCCU